GUAGUAAGCUUGAGGAUAGGUUUCUGUCGGGUGGUAGGAGAGAGAGACCGCAACAACAGUCUCUCCCCUUUUUCGAGGACCUCCAUGAUGAACUGUCGAAGUCAUGGAGCGAACCAUAUACUUCCCGCAUCUUUGUGCCCUCGACGUUGACUUUUUCAACUAUCGUGGAUGCAAAAUCGCGGGGAUAUUCGGAGAUGCCUCGGGUUGAAGAGUCGCUUGCGAGCUAUCUCUCACCUGAAUCUGCAUCCUCGGUGAAGAAACCUACUCUCCCCACUAAACCUUGUAGAAUUACAUCAUCGCUAGUGGGUAAAGCUUAUCAAGCUGCAGGUCAGGCUGGUGCUGCGCUGCACACUAUGGCAGUGUUACAGGCAUACCAGGCUGACCUAUUGAAGGACUUGAGUGUGGGCAGUACAAUCGACGAGGAAGCAUUCGCUGAGCUUCGUCGGGCCACAGAUUUGUCUCUCCGGGCGACCAAGCAGACGGCUCGUGCCAUUGGCCGGUCGAUGUCAGCUUUAGUCAGCACGGAGAGGCAUCUGUGGCUUAAUUUGACGGGCAUUAAAGAGAAGGAACGUUUGUUUCUUUUAGACUCCCCUAUCUCUCCAUCUGGCCUGUUUGGCGAUUCAGUUAAUUCGGUCGUCGACAGGUUUAGGGAAGUAAAGAAACAUGAAGAAGCGUUCGUUCAGUUUCUUCCUCGCCGCACUCAAGGGGAGGGGCCAUCAGCCACCCAGCCUCGCCCCGGUCCUUCAAAAACCAGGGAGGUUAAAAAGCAGAGCGUGACAGACCGUGCUCCCCCUCGUAGGGAUUGGGGACAGGUUCGCCGUGCUCAGCAACCUCCCAAGCCAGACCUCAGGACUUUUAUUAAUAGGAAGAAGAAGUCCUGACGCCAUGGCACCCGUGCUGGUGGGGGUAGUCCCUCACGGGGUGGGGCGCGCUCGAGAGCUUUUCGCCCCGCCCCGUUACCCUCACAAAACCCCUCCAGCCCCGCCGCUUCUGGUGUUUCGGGGGGCGGGGGUUUCCAGCGAGAUUUUAGAUGUUCCAG
ensembl:lncRNA